GGGAAAAGAAGUUCACGGCCCUUGGACCCUCUACCUUCAUAGGACAUUGCUCUGUAAGGCUUUUGCCCAUUGCAGAAAAUUCCUCAAUGUUGCCUCCCAUAGGAGUCUGGGAUGUCCGAACUAAUGAGCACCUAAAGCAGCAUUGAGUGAUCCCCCUCCCUGACACUGAUACCCUAGGAAGUACAUAUUGUGCCAACUUUCUUUGUUGACUCACCUUACAACCAGAUAUUUUUCUUCGCAUGGUUGAAUUACUUGAAACCCAAAGAAAGAAUUUGAUCAUCUCUCGCUUUACUUUGCUAGUAAAGCAAAGAUUUCUCUCCAAUAUAAAACAUAAAAAAAAAAUUCUUCAUUCAUCUAUCUUUCUAUACUACCUUGAAAGCAUGAACUCUCUG
rnacentral:misc_RNA from 1 species